AUAGAAAAUUCUAGAAUUUUAAAUUACUUAUUUUAAAAUUUUCUAUUUUUUUGCCCCCCUUAAAGUUUGGUUUGUAUAAUGAUUGUUUUUUUUAAAGAGUCAUUUCUGAUGUAUCAAAUUACACAAUGCUGUAAUGAAAUUAAUGGGAAUUUUUAAAAAAUUAACAUGAAUUAAAAAAAAAAAACGGCAACUAUGUUUGAUUAGCCUACCUAAGCCCAUUACCUAUGUUGAUUCUCAUUAACCUUUAUAAAUUGUUACUUGUUACUUCCUGACCAACUAGAUCUGUGAAAGCCACUCCAUCUAAUUAUUCCUCCAUUAAAUUCUGUUCGCUUUAUCUUUUCCUUUUUAUGGUUUGUAUUUAUAAAUUAGUGUCCUAUGAUCAAAGUUGAUAAAAAUGUAUUGUUGUAAUAGCACUACUUUGUAAAAGCUACAAUUUUUAUUUUAUGAUUUUUGUUGAAACAAAGAAAAGAAAAGGGAAAUAGUGCUUAACUUAUUUUAGAAAUAUGACUGAAGACAGACUAAAGGGCAAUAACUCAACAAAGGUUAUAAAAACACUUGUUUAUUAACACGUUUUUGAUGGAUAAUAUAUUGAUUCAUUAUAAAUAUAUCAUUAGCAAAAUUUAUUAUUUUUGUUACACAUUCAGUUUUGUUUUUGCAAUAUUUCAAAUGUUGUCUUCUAACAAAAAAGCUUUAAUUUAUGAUUGAAGUUAGUUCCAUAGUAAAUAUUUCUGUGAUGACAAACAAACAAUGAAAUGUUUUCAAAUUCCAAUAAACAUUAUGAUUUGAAAAAAAAAAAAUUCAUUAACAUUGUUAAACAGUUUUAUUUAGUUACAGUACUUCUUAUUCCAUUCCAAACUCAGUCAGAAAUAGGAAACA